CCUGGGGAGUACGGCCGCAAGGUUAAAACUCAAAUGAAUUGACGGGGGCCCGCACAAGCGGUGGAGCAUGUGGUUUAAUUCGAUGCAACGCGAAGAACCUUACCUACUCUUGACAUCCAGAGAACUUUCCAGAGAUGGAUUGGUGCCUUCGGGAACUCUGAGACAGGUGCUGCAUGGCUGUCGUCAGCUCGUGUUGUGAAAUGUUGGGUUAAGUCCCGCAACGAGCGCAACCCUUAUCCUUUGUUGCCAGCGGUUCGGCCGGGAACUCAAAGGAGACUGCCAGUGAUAAACUGGAGGAAGGUGGGGAUGACGUCAAGUCAUCAUGGCCCUUACGAGUAGGGCUACACACGUGCUACAAUGGCGCAUACAAAGAGAAGCGACCUCGCGAGAGCAAGCGGACCUCAUAAAGUGCGUCGUAGUCCGGAUUGGAGUCUGCAACUCGACUCCAUGAAGUCGGAAUCGCUAGUAAUCGUAGAUCAGAAUGCUACGGUGAAUACGUUCCCGGGCCUUGUACACACCGCCCGUCACACCAUGGGAGUGGGUUGCAAAAGAAGUAGGUAGCUUAACCUUCGGGAGGGCGCUUACCACUUUGUGAUUCAUGACUGGGGUGAAGUCGUAACAAGGUAACCGUAGGGGAACCUGCGGUUGGAUCACCUCCUUACCUUAAAGAA
rnacentral:rRNA from 1 species